UGUGGGGCAGGGAUGAUCCAGGCGCUGGGCGGCUUCUUCUAUGGGUCUCUAUGGGUCUCUCUAUGUCUCUCUAUGUCUCUCUACGUGUCUCUAUGACUCUCUGUGACUCUCUAUGGGUCGCUAUGGGUCCCGCUAUGGGUCGCUAUGGGUCUGGCUGUGGGGCAGGGAUGAUCCAGGCGCUGGGCGGCUUCUUCUAUGGGUCUCUAUGGGUCUCUCUAUGUCUCUCUAUGUGUCUCUGUGACUCUCUCUGGGUCGCUGUGGGUCCCGCUAUGGGUCGCUAUGGGUCUGGCUGUGGGGCAGGGAUGAUCCAGGCGCUGGGCGGCUUCUUCUCGUACUUCGUGAUCCUGGCGGAGAACGGCUUCCUGCCCUCGUGCCUGGUGGGGAUCCGCCUCAGCUGGGACGACCGCACCAUCAACGACCUGGAGGAUUCCUACGGCCAGCAGUGGGUGCGUGGGGGGCGGCGCUAUGGGGCGGUGCUAUGGGGCGGUGCUGUGGGUCGGUGCUAUGGGGCGGUGCUGUGGGUCGGUGCUAUGGGGCAGCUGCUGUGGGUUGGUGCUAUGGGGCGGCGCUGUGGGUCGGUGCUGUGGGCAGUGCUGUGGGUCGGCGCUAUGGGGUGGUGCUGUGGAUCGGUGCUAUGGGGCAGUGCUGUGGGUCGGCGCUAUGGGGCGGUGCUGUGGGGCGGUGCUGUGGGGUGGUGCUGUGGGGCGGUGCUAUGGGGCAGUGCUGUGGGUCGGUGCUGUGGGGCGGUGCUAUGGGGCAGUGCUGUGGGGCGGCACUAUGGGUCGGCGCUAUGGGGCAGCUGCUGUGGGUCGGUGCUGUGGGGCGGUGCUGUGGGGCGGUGCUAUGAGGCGGCGCUAUGGGGCGAUGCUAUGGGUCGCUGCUACGGGGUGGCGCGGUGCUAUGGGGCAGUGCUGUGGGUCGGUGCUAUGGGGCACUGCUAUGGGGCGGCACAGCGCUAUAGGGCGGCGCUGUGGGGCGGCACUGUGGGGCGGUGCUGUGGGUUGGCGCUAUGGGGCGGUGCUGUGGGUCGCUGCUAUGGGGCGGCACGGUGCUAUGGGGCGGUGCCAUGGGGCACUGCUAUGGGGUGAUGCCCUGGGGCAAUGCCCUGGGGCACUGCUGUGGGGCGGCACUAUGGGUCGCUGCUAUGGGGCGGCGCUAUGGGGCGGCGCGGUGCUAUGGGGCAGCGCUAUGGGGGUGAUGCCCUGGGGCAAUGCUAUGGGUCGCUGCUAUGGGGCGGGGCGGCGCUAUGGGGCGCUGCUAUGGGGCGUCGCGGCGCUAUGGGGCGGCGCUAUGGGGCGGUGCGGCGCUAUGGGUCUCUGCUAUGGGGCGUCGCGGCGCUAUGGGGCGUCGCGGCGCUAUGGGGCGGCGCUAUGGGGCAGCGCUAUGGGUGCGAUGCCCUGGGGCAGUGCUAUGGGGCGCUGCUAUGGGGCGUCGCGGUGCUAUGGGGCGGCGCUAUGGGGCGUCGCGGUGCUAUGGGUCGCUGCUAUGGGGUGGGUCGGCGCUAUGGGUCGCUGCUAUGGGGCGGGGCGGCGCUAUGAGGCGGCGCUAUGGGGCGGCGCUAUGGGGCGGCGCUAUGGGGCGGCGCUAUGGGGCGGCGCUAUGGGGCGGCGCGGCGCUAUGGGGCGGCGCUAUGGGGCGGCGCGGCGCUAUGGGGCGGCGCUAUGGGGCGGUGCAGCGCUAUGGGGUGGCGCUAUGGGGCGGCGCGGUGCUAUGGGGCGGCGCUAUGGGUCGCCGCUAUGGGUCGCCGCUAUGGGGCGGCGCUGUGGGUCACUGCUAUGGGGCGGGGCGGCGCUAUGGGGCGGCG
ensembl:lncRNA